UAUCAACCGAGAAUGCAUAAGCUAUAAAAUUGAUAAGAAAAGUAAUUACAUUUGAUCAGCUAAAAGGCAGAUAAAAUUAUGAUGUUUGAUGAAUUAUAAUACUUCAACUCCAUGUAAUACUUUUAUACUGUUCGUUUUUAAAGUUAAAAGAUUUCUACUUGGAGAUCAGUUAUAAAUGAAUACAAAUUGUAUUUAAAUAUUCAACUAUAAAAUUAGUCCUACAAUUCUAAGAGCUUUUCGUAGUAAUAAAAAAAACUUUUCAAAUUGAAGUUUGUUGACCUAUAUGACAAUUUAAAGAGUAUUAUUUGCUAUUUUCAUAUUUUAUGUCAUCAAUUUUUUCAAUUUAAUGAGUUCUACAUAGUGGUACACAAAUGGCUCGAAACCUGCAAUCCGGCCUGGUCAAAGCCUGGGCCAGACAGGCCCGACCCACUAGACUAAGAACAGACCUUGAUUUUAAGACUAAUAUCUGGCCUGACCUGGCCUUCAAAAUAAUCCAGCCUGGCCCGAUGCCUGUACCGGCCCGAGGUUCAAGCCUAGCCCUUAUACAACAUGUUUGGCUUGAUACUUGAUAAGCUAUACCUUUUAUAGUAAAACACUUCCUGACUUCCAACAAAAACUAAAUGUGGGAC
rnacentral:lncRNA from 1 species